rnacentral:siRNA from 1 species
UCUACAAAGGGACGGUACUAGA